GCCCAGGGCCGGCCCCCCUCUAGACGCCCGCGGGAAGACUGAGGCCUGGAUCGCCAGGAGGUCGUGGUGCCAGAACUGAGCGCUUCCGGAUUGGAUAUUUUUGUUCCCCCUGGCCACUGCGGAAGACAGGGACUCCCAGGUGUCCGGGACAUGUGUACUGCUUCUACUACUAGGACUUGGGCCUCGAAGCCAGCUCCAAAGGCUCCAGCUUUCCCAAGGGACUGGUGCAGAGCCCAGCGGAAGGAAGGUGGAAGGUGUCUUUUAAGUAGAGAACCCCAGCGGAGGGUUUUGGCCUAAGGUGGCCAACCUUCAGGAAUUUUAGUUGCAUUCUUCAGGUGAGCGACUUGCGGAAGUCUUCAGGUCUUCAGUCUGAAGAAGAAAGAGGCAAAGAGCCCAGACCCUCCCUCAGUCUGCUGACCCGAGAGUGUGGAAGUGCCCUUUGCUUGACGUCAGUCCCCAGCAGAGGGACCCCAACAAUGUAGAGGGCUUUACACUCCAUGCAGCUCCCCCCUCCCUUUCCCAAAGUAAAGGAAUGAAAAUUCAGGGUUCAUCAUGUUUCCUUUUACCAAAAGAGGAACAAUUAAAACAAACUUUUACUUUAA